UACAGAGGGGGCAAGCGUUGUUCGGAAUUACUGGGCGUAAAGGGCGCGUAGGCGGCCUGUUAAGUCGAACGUGAAAUCCCCGGGCUCAACCCGGGAACUGCGUCCGAUACUGGCAGGCUUGAAUCCGGGAGAGGGAUGCGGAAUUCCAGGUGUAGCGGUGAAAUGCGUAGAUAUCUGGAGGAACACCAGAGGCGAAGGCGGCUACCUGGACAAUUGCUGACGCUCAGGCACGAAAGCGUGGGGAGCAAAAGGG
rnacentral:rRNA from 1 species